AGAGAUGUAAUAAAAAAAAUUUUUUUUAAUUUUAUAUUACAUCAAUAAAAAUAGAUGAGUUUGGUGAUGGCUCUG
rnacentral:rRNA from 1 species